UUUUUUUUUUUUUUGAGACAGAGUCUCGCUCUGUCGCCUAGGCUGGAGUGCAGUGGCGCAAUCUCAGCUCACUGCAAGCUCCGCCUCCCGGGUUCACGCCAUUCUCCUGCCUCAGCCUCCCGAGUAGCUGGGACUACAGGCGCCCGCCACCACACCCAGCUAAUUUUUCUUAUUUUUAGUAGAGACGGGGUUUCACCAUGUUGCCCAGGCUCAUCUCGAACUCAUGACCUCAGGUGAUUCACCUGCCUCAGCCUCCCAAAGUACUGGGAUUAUAGGCGUGAGCCACCACACCAGGCCCAGAGCCUGUAAUUUUCACCCUUACUCUACUGUGCCCAAGAAGUGGAAGACAUACUCCCUACUCCAAGGAGUUUAAGAUUGAAAGAUAAACACGUGCAGUCUGGCUGGGUGUGGUGCCGCAUGCCUAUUGCCAUCCCAGCUAUUUAGGAGGCUGAGACAGGAGAAUUGCUUGAACCUCAGAGGCGGAGGUUGCAGUGGGACAAGAUUGCACCACUGCACUCCAGCCUGGGCAACAGAGCAAGAGUCCAUCUAAAACAAAAAAAACAGAAAAACAAAAAACAAACAAACAAAAAAACAGAUAAAAAACAAAAACAUAUGCAGCCUAAGAUGAAAGAAGACUAGUCCCAUAGGGUACACAUGCACACUUACUAAGAGGAGGCAUAACCUCUACCUGAGUGAAACUUGUCUGAGGCUUUCCUGAAUCUGCAGUGGGGCUGUGUCCCUGAGCCCCUGCACUGCUGCCUCAGAAGGGGCACUAGACCCAAAGACCCAAAGGCAAAAGGCUUGGGUUCAAACUGGUAAGAAGGGACCUGGGUGACUGGAAGAAUAGGGUUGAGAGAAGGAAUUUUAUCUGUACCUUUUGAAUUUUGAAACAUGUGAAUGAACUAUCUUAAAAAAUAAAUUUGGCCGGGCAAGGUGGCUCAUGCCUGUAAUCCCAGCAGUUUGGGAGGCGGAUCAUGAGGUCAAGAGUUCGAGACCAGCCUGGCCAACAUGAUGAAACCCCGUCUCUACUAAAAAUACAAAAUUAGCAGGGUGUGGUGGUGCAUGCUUAUAAUCCCAGCAACUUGGGAAGCUGAGGCAGGAGAAUCGCUUGAACCUGGGAAGGCAGAGGUUGCAGUGAGCCGAGAUGGUGCCACUGCACUCCAGCCUGGGCAACAAGAGCAAAACUCUGUCUCUAAAAUAAAUAAAUAAAUAGGCCAGGCGUGGAGGGAGGUUGCAGUGAGCUGAUAUUGUGCCACUGUACUCCAGCCAGGGUGACAGAGCGAGACUCCAUCUCAAAAAAAAUAAUAAUAAUAACAAUAAUAAAUUUGUAACAAAAGCAAAUAUGCACUCUGCUAUGGUCUGAAUGUGCCCCCUAAAGUUUAUGGGUUGGAAACUUAAUCCCUGCUGUAAUAGUGUUGAGAAGUGGGAACUUUAAGAGGCAAUUGGGUCACGAGGGCUCUGCCCUCAUUUAUGCCAUUAUCAUGGCAGUGGGUCAGGUUAUCUCAGGAUUAAAAAAAAAAAAAAGGUGAGCUUGGCUCCCUUCCUCUCUCUUGGGCUUGCAAGCUCUCUGGCCCUGCCACCUUCUACCAGGGAAGGAUGUGGCAUGAAGGCCCUCACCAGAUGCCAGUGCAAUGUUCUUGGACUUGCCAGUCUCCAGAACCAUGAGCCAAAUACACUUCUAUUGUUUAUAAAUCACCCAGUCUCAGUUAUUCUGUUAUAGCAACACAAAACAGACCAAGACAUACCCCCAGAAGGCCAGUGGUUAAGAUAAACAUGUUAAAACAAAAGUGAAUUUAUGACUUCAUCUCACCCAGACCCUAGCUGGUCCUCCUCUGAAGUGGGAAUAAUAUCUGCCCUGUCUAGCACAAAGUGCUGUUAGAAAGAUCAAUAGGAUCAUGUGGGUGAAUGUGCUUUGAAAGCUGUGAAGUAUUAAACAAAUAUGAGAUGAGAGGGAAAUCUAUCCCACAGAGGAUUAUACUCCCACGUGUGGGCCUAGAGGCAUUUCAAAUACUGUGUUGUGACUCAGGGCCCGUCCCAGCCCCAGUUUUGAAGUAGGCACCAUUUAUGGUCCUAACAACUUCCAUGGUGUUUGAAAUGCCUCCUGUACCCAUUGGGCAGCCUCUCUCCUCGCUCCUGCUGGCUCUCGCCUUCGAGCCGCCUGCAGGAAGGGAAACACUCACACAAGCCCACCUGCAUUGGGUCUCCAGGGUCAUUGUUACUCAAGCGUAGUCCUCUCUCCUGGGGCCCCCACCCACCUCUCUAGCCUGGUCCCCAGCUCCUCCUCCCACCCCUGAAGAGCGAACCCUGUGCCCUGUGCCAGGCUCUGUGAUGCUCAGACGUGCAGGGCCACACCAGAUUACUCACUGUUCCCUGAACACACCCCACCCUUCCCAGCUGCUCCUGCUCUGCUCCAGGACUACAGGCCUUUCUUUCUUCACCAUGCUCCCCCCAGGGAGAGCCUCCCCUCCUUUCUAGACCCUGUCCCCAAAUGCACUCCACCAAGGCCCUGUUUGAAAGAAGGUCGCCUGCUCCCUGGCCUGUGCUGGCCUUGGGCGUUGUUGAGUCCUCCUGAGACGGCUCCUUCUGCUGCCCACUUUAGCACACGGACCCCAUCUUCCACAGGCCUGAGUCUCCAUGGAGCCUAGCUCAGCACCUUGCCCACAUGAGGUACACAAUGAAUGAUGAUCGCAUUGAAUUUUUAUGAGACAGCUUUUUCAAAAAAGGCAAAAGUAAGGCUCUUUAAGGGUGGGGCUUCAGGCACAGUGGCUUCUGGGUGGGGGAGAGGAGUUUGGGGAGUGAAUCUUUGCUCUUAAACACCCCCACUGCAGGGAGAGCCCUUUUUCCCCUAGAUCCUGCCUUUUCUCAGCAGUCCUGAGGGAGCCUCAGGGAAUGAAUGACUGGGGCUGGAAGCUGCAGCUGGUCUUCAGGCCAAAAGCUGUAAAAGCCCAGACCCCUGAGGCCUUCUGUCUGGGGCAGGCCGCAUGCAGGCUCCUGACUGCAGCCAAGAGCAGUGAUCUCGCCCUUAAAAAUCAACAGUCUCUAAUCCACGUCGGGGUGGGGUUUCUUUUGCGUGUUAUUCCAGCAAUAAUACGUAACUGGUCCAGAAACCGCCUCUGAGCCCUGGGCACAGUCUCACUGAGAGUUCCAGCCCUUGCCCCGAGCUGCAAACUGGGGCCUAAAGCUGCAGCACCGAGAGGCCACGUGGGGCGAGGCCUCCCCGGAAGGCCUGCGGCGCCGCCGUUGUCCACCAGGGGGCGCCAGGAAACGGCGCGGCGAGGCCCCAGCUCAACCCGCCCGCGCGGGCACACCCGGGCUUUGACCCCUUUGUGAUCGAGGACACGGACGGGUUUCUCUCCAACAAAAGGGGGCCAUAAAUUACAAACGGAAGCAGAGUGUGUAGGGAAGAACAGGAAAGCACGUGCGUUGAAACCGGAACUCGGGCCUGCUUGCUUGCUUAUUUAUUUUAGUUAUUACUGUUUUCUUGGGGCAGGCCCUUGCUCUGUCGCCCAGGCUGCGGGGUGGUGGCCCCGUCAUAGCUCACUGCAGCCUCAACCUCGGGGCUCAAGCGACCCUCCUGCUUCAGUCUCCCAAAGUGCCGGGGCUGCAGGCGCGAGCCGCCACCCCGGCCUCCGUGCUCUUUCUCAGGGAGCAUUUUCCACCUCCCCUGCAAGAGGCCGUUUUGCCAGUGGCUUUCAGAAAAGACUGUUGUCAUCUCGGGGUUCAGAGUUAAUCGUGGAUUUACCUACCACACAGAAAUUUCCAAAGAAUCGAUCUGCUCCCUCUCAAUAUCCACCCUAAACAAGAGCACUUUCCCAAUCAGCGCCUUGUCCUGGGGCUUCCAGACCCAUCUGGCCUUUUGCUCUUUGCUCUAUGCCCACUUGAGCUGUGAGGUUCUCAGAGACAUUCCCCAAAGCCCUCCCAGCCGAUCUCUGCUGACUUCAAUCCUACUCAUCCCUCAGGGGCUAACAAAAUUGUUAAAAUUUAAACAGUAAUAAUUAAAUAAUGAUAUUGCUGUAUGUCAGGCAUGACUCCACAAAGCAGGUAUUAAUACAGAUGGUCCCCAGCUUUCGCACCAUCGUAAGUGAUACACUUUACAAACUGUCCUUCGAGUAGCCAUACAACCACUCUCUUUUUCACUUUCAGUACAUUAUUCAAUAAAUUACACAAGAUAUUCAAUAGUCUCUUAUAAAGUAGGCUUUGUGUUAGAUGAUGUUGCCCAGCAGUAGGCUGGUGUAAGUGGGCUGAGCACGCUGAAGUUAAGCUAGGCUAAACUAUGAAGUUCAGUAGGCUAAGUGUAUUAAAUGCAUUUUGACUUACAAUAUUUUCAACUUACUAUGGGUUUAUCAGAAUGUAGCUCUAUCAUAAGUUGAGAAGCAACACUAGUCUCAUAUAUAUAUAUACAUAUAUAUAUAUAAAUAUUUUGGCACGAUCUUGGCUCACUGCAACCUCCACCUCCUGGAUUCAAGCAAUUCUCCUGCCUCAGCCUCCCAAGUAACUGGGAUGUAGUCCCAUUCUACAAGUGAAGAAGUUGAGGCUCAAAGAGGUCAAAUGCCCAAAGUCACCAGAUACUGAGGGAUGGCCCCAGUGUCUAAAUCCUAAGCCUGCGUUUUUCUCCUAUAUGCCAGUGGUUCUCCAUGUGUGCUCCUUGAAGUAGCAGCAGCAACAUCACCUGAAAACUCACUAGAAAUGAAAAAUUUUUAAAUUUUUGUAGAGAUGGGGUCUCACCAUGUCGGCCAGGCUAAGUCUCAAACUCCUGAGUUCAAGCGAUUCUCCCACCUCAGCCUCCCAAACUGUUGGGAUUACAGGCGUGAGCCACUGCACCAGGCCCCGAGAUCACCCUUUUAUUUUUAUUUUUUUUUAAGACAGGAUCUCCCUCUGUCACCCUAAGGGAGGAGACCAUCCCUCACAUUGUCUUAUGCCCAAUUUCUGCCUCCAAAUAAAGAAGAAGUAAAAACUAAAAGGCAGAAAUGAAAUCCACGAGCAGACAGCCCGGCCCCAUACCCUGGGCCUGGUAGUUAAAGAUCGACCCCUGACGUAAUCAGUUAUUUGUAUAAGAAAAGCACUGUGAAGAUCCCUGUCCUGUUCUGUUCCGUUCUAAUUACCGGUGCAUGCAGCCCCCGGUCACGUACCCCCUGAUUACUCAAUCAAUCAUGACCCUCUCACGCGGACCCCCUUAAAAGUUGUGAGCCCUUAAAAGGGACAGGAAUUGCUCACUCGGGGAGCUCGGUUGUUGGAGAUGUGAAUCUUGCCAAAGCUCCUGGCCGAAUAAAGCCCUUCUUUCUUU
rnacentral:lncRNA from 1 species